rnacentral:pre_miRNA from 1 species
UGUGCACCAGUGGGGUCCCUCAGCCUGGCUUGUGCUCUCUCGCAAUCUGAGACCCCUUGGGGAUGUUGGAGAGCCAGUUUGGCCCUAUCCCGCAGGCCAGGCUGAGGGACCCCACUGGUGCACA